AGUGGUUUAGUGUUUGGCUGCUAACCAAAAGGUCGACAGUUCGAAUCUACCAGCCACUC
rnacentral:tRNA from 1 species